AUUGAACGCUGGCGGCAUGCUUUACACAUGCAAGUCGAACGGCAGCGCGGGCUUCGGCCUGGCGGCGAGUGGCGAACGGGUGAGUAAUAUAUCGGAACGUACCCAAGAGUGGGGGAUAACGUAGCGAAAGUUACGCUAAUACCGCAUACGAUCUAAGGAUGAAAGCAGGGGACCGCAAGGCCUUGUGCUCCUGGAGCGGCCGAUAUCUGAUUAGCUAGUUGGUGAGGUAAAGGCUCACCAAGGCAACGAUCAGUAGCUGGUCUGAGAGGACGACCAGCCACACUGGAACUGAGACACGGUCCAGACUCCUACGGGAGGCAGCAGUGGGGAAUUUUGGACAAUGGGGGCAACCCUGAUCCAGCAAUGCCGCGUGAGUGAAGAAGGCCUUCGGGUUGUAAAGUUCUUUUGUCAGGGAAGAAAAGGGUCUGGCUAAUAUCCAGAUCUGCUGACGGUACCUGAAGAAUAAGCACCGGCUAACUACGUGCCAGCAGCCGCCGUAACAC
rnacentral:rRNA from 1 species